rnacentral:rRNA from 1 species
GCUUGUCCUGUGACUGCGUACCUUUUGUAUAAUGGGUCAGCGACUUAUAUUCAGUGGCAAGGUUAACCAUCUAGGGGAGCCGUAGGGAAACCGAGUCUUAACUGGGCGUUCAGUCUCUGGAUAUAGACCCGAAACCAGGUGAUCUAGCCAUGGGCAGGUUGAAGGUUGAGUAACAUCAACUGGAGGACCGAACCGACUAAUGUUGAAAAAUUAGCGGAUGACUUGUGGCUAGGGGUGAAAGGCCAAUCAAACCUGGAGAUAGCUGGUUCUCCCCGAAAGCUAUUUAGGUAGCGCCUCGGACGAAUACUACUGGGGGUAGAGCACUGUUAAGGCUAGGGGGUCAUCCCGACUUACCAACCCUUUGCAAACUCCGAAUACCAGUAAGUACUAUCCGGGAGACACACGGCGGGUGCUAACGUCCGUCGUGGAGAGGGAAACAACCCAGACCGCCAGCUAAGGUCCCAAAUUACUACUAAGUGGGAAACGAUGUGGGAAGGCUCAGACAGCCAGGAUGUUGGCUUAGAAGCAGCCAUCAUUUAAAGAAAGCGUAAUAGCUCACUGGUCGAGUCGGCCUGCGCGGAAGAUGUAACGGGGCUAAGUAGU